rnacentral:tRNA from 1 species
GGUAGGAUGGCCGAGGUAGGUGGGAGGUUGUAAACCUCUUUAUGUGGGUUUUACUCCCGCUGCUACCA